rnacentral:sRNA from 1 species
UAGAUAGACUUCCUCUGCUGCCAUCAUC